UACGUAGGGUGCGAGCGUUGUCCGGAUUUAUUGGGCGUAAAGAGCGUGUAGGCGGCUAGAUAGGUCCGUUGUGAAAACUCGAGGCUCAACCUCGAGACGUCGAUGGAAACCAUCUGGCUAGAGUCCGGAAGAGGAGAGUGGAAUUCCUGGUGUAGCGGUGAAAUGCGCAGAUAUCAGGAAGAACACCCGUGGCGAAAGCGGCUCUCUGGUACGUGACUGACGCUGAGACGCGAAAGCGUGGGGAGCAAACAGG
rnacentral:rRNA from 1 species